rnacentral:rRNA from 1 species
AGAGUUUGAUCAUGGCUCAGAUUGAACGCUGGCGGCAGGCCUAACACAUGCAAGUCGAACGGUAACAGGAAGCAGCUUGCUGCUUCGCUGACGAGUGGCGGACGGGGGAGUAAUGUCUGGGAAACUGCCUGAUGGAGGGGGAUAACUACUGGAAACGGUAGCUAAUACCGCAUAACGUCGCAAGACCAAAGAGGGGGACCUUCGGGCCUCUUGCCAUCGGAUGUGCCCAGAUGGGAUUAGCUAGUAGGUGGGGUAACGGCUCACCAAGGCGACGAUCCCUAGCUGGUCUGAGAGGAUGACCAGCCACACUGGAACUGAGACACGGUCCAGACUCCUACGGGAGGCAGCAGUGGGGAAUAUUGCACAAUGGGCGCAAGCCUGAUGCAGCCAUGCCGCGUGUAUGAAGAAGGCCUUCGGGUUGUAAAGUACUUUCAGCGGGGAGGAAGGGAGUAAAGUUAAUACCUUUGCUCAUUGACGUUACCCGCAGAAGAAGCACCGGCUAACUCCGUGCCAGCAGCCGCGGUAAUACGGAGGGUGCAAGCGUUAAUCGGAAUUACUGGGCGUAAAGCGCACGCAGGCGGUUUGUUAAGUCAGAUGUGAAAUCCCCGGGCUCAACCUGGGAACUGCAUCUGAUACUGGCAAGCUUGAGUCUCGUAGAGGGGGGUAGAAUUCCAGGUGUAGCGGUGAAAUGCGUAGAGAUCUGGAGGAAUACCGGUGGCGAAGGCGGCCCCCUGGACGAAGACUGACGCUCAGGUGCGAAAGCGUGGGGAGCAAACAGGAUUAGAUACCCUGGUAGUCCACGCCGUAAACGAUGUCGACUUGGAGGUUGUGCCCUUGAGGCGUGGCUUCCGGAGCUAACGCGUUAAGUCGACCGCCUGGGGAGUACGGCCGCAAGGUUAAAACUCAAAUGAAUUGACGGGGGCCCGCACAAGCGGUGGAGCAUGUGGUUUAAUUCGAUGCAACGCGAAGAACCUUACCUGGUCUUGACAUCCACGGAAGUUUUCAGAGAUGAGAAUGUGCCUUCGGGAACCGUGAGACAGGUGCUGCAUGGCUGUCGUCAGCUCGUGUUGUGAAAUGUUGGGUUAAGUCCCGCAACGAGCGCAACCCUUAUCCUUUGUUGCCAGCGGUCCGGCCGGGAACUCAAAGGAGACUGCCAGUGAUAAACUGGAGGAAGGUGGGGAUGACGUCAAGUCAUCAUGGCCCUUACGACCAGGGCUACACACGUGCUACAAUGGCGCAUACAAAGAGAAGCGACCUCGCGAGAGCAAGCGGACCUCAUAAAGUGCGUCGUAGUCCGGAUUGGAGUCUGCAACUCGACUCCAUGAAGUCGGAAUCGCUAGUAAUCGUGGAUCAGAAUGCCACGGUGAAUACGUUCCCGGGCCUUGUACACACCGCCCGUCACACCAUGGGAGUGGGUUGCAAAAGAAGUAGGUAGCUUAACCUUCGGGAGGGCGCUUACCACUUUGUGAUUCAUGACUGGGGUGAAGUCGUAACAAGGUAACCGUAGGGGAACCUGCGGUUG